rnacentral:rRNA from 1 species
GAAUCGCUUAUCAUAGACCCGAAACCGGGUGAUCUAUCCAUGUCCAGGUUGAAGCUGCCGUAAGAGGUAGUGGAGGACCGAACACACAUCCGUUGAAAAGGGUGGUGAUGAGGUGUGGAUAGGGGAGAAAUUCCAAUCGAACCCGGAGAUAGCUGGUUCUCCUCGAAAUAGCUUUAGGGCUAGCCUCUGGUUAGUCUGCCGCAGGUAGAGCACUGAAUUUCCUAGGGGGCGUCAAAGCCUACCGAAGAAUAUCAAACUGCGAAUGGCGGACAGAUGAUGCCAGGGAGUCAGACUGCACGAGAUAAGUUGGGUGGUCAAAAGGGAAAGAGCCCAGACCUACAGCUAAGGUCCCAAAGUGUGUGUUAAGUGGAAAAGGAUGUGGGAUUUCGAAGACAACUAGGAUGUUGGCUCAGAAGCAGCCACACAUUAAAAGAGUGCGUAAUAGCUCACUAGUCGAGAGGUCCUGCGCCGAAAAUGUCCGGGGCUAAAACACAACACCGAAGCUUAGGAAUUCUUUUGAAUUGGUAGAGGAGCAUUGAAGACGGAACGAAGCCAUACCGGAAGGAAUGGUGGACUGUCUUGAAGAGAGAAUGCCGGAAUGAGUAGCGAGAUUGAAGUGAGAAUCUUCAAGGCCGAAUAUCUAAGGUUUCCAGGGUAAAGCUGAUCUGCCUGGGUAAGUCGGGGCCUAAGGCAAGGUCGAAAGACGUAGUCGAUGGAUAACAGGUUGAAAUUCCUGUACUGCAUCAAAUCAGAAAUGUGGGGACACAUGAGGGAAGCAUGAGCCGGAAAAGGAAAGUCCGGUACAAGCGCAGCAGAGGACAGAUAGGCAAAACCGUCUGUCAACUCGAGGGCGUGAUGUGGAGCGAACCAAAGUAGCGAAGCAUGUGGAGCUUGUGUCGAGAAAAGCCGCUAUAGUGUUUGAUGUACCCGUACCGUAAACCGACACAGGUGGAUGAGGAGAGAAUCCUAAGGCCGGCGGGAGAAGCAUUGUUAAGGAACUCGGCAAAAUGACCCCGUAACUUCGGGAGAAGGGGUGCUCCAGAGAUGGAGCCGCAGAGAACUGGCCCAAGCAACUGUUUAGCAAAAACACAGGUCUAUGCAAAACCGAAAGGUGAGGUAUAUGCUGACGCCUGCCCGGUGCUGGAAGGUUAAGAGGAGAUGUUAGCCGCAAGGUGAAGCAUUGAAUUUAAGCCCCAGUAAACGGCGGCCGUAACUAUAACGGUCCUAAGGUAGCGAAAUUCCUUGUCGGGUAAGUUCCGACCCGCACGAAAGGCGUAAUGAUUUGGGCACUGUCUCGACAAUGCACCCGGUGAAAUUGAAAUACCAGUGAAGAUGCUGGUUACCUGCGCCAGGACGGAAAGACCCCAUGGAGCUUUACUCUAGCUUGAUACUGGGGUUCGGUAUUGCAUGUACAGGAUAGGUGGGAGACUGAGAAGAUGUGUCGCCAGAUGCAUCAGAGUCGAUGUUGGGAUACCACCCCUGCAGUACUGGGCUUCUAACCUGCAGCCGUGACCCGGCUGGGGGACAAUGUCUGGUGGGGAGUUUGACUGGGGCGGUCGCCUCCGAAAGAGUAUCGGAGGCGCUCAAAGGUUCCCUCAGAAUGGUUGGAAACCAUUCGAAGAGCGCAAAGGCAGAAGGGAGCUUGACUGCGACACCGACGGGUGGAGCAGGUACGAAAGUAGGACUUAGUGAUCCGGUGGUAUGAAAGUGGGAUUGCCAUCGCUCAACGGAUAAAAGCUACCCUGGGGAUAACAGGCUUAUCACUCCCAAGAGUUCACAUCGACGGAGUGGUUUGGCACCUCGAUGUCGGCUCAUCGCAUCCUGGGGCUGUAGUAGGUCCCAAGGGUUGGGCUGUUCGCCCAUUAAAGCGGUACGCGAGCUGGGUUCAGAACGUCGUGAGACAGUUCGGUCCCUAUCCGGCGUGGGCGUAGGAUAUCUGAGAGGAGCUGUCCUUAGUACGAGAGGACCGGGAUGGACUGACCUCUGGUGCACCGGUUGCAUUGCCAAAUGCAUAGCCGGGUAGCCAAGUCGGGACGGGAUAAACGCUGAAGGCAUCUAAGCGUGAAGCCCCCCUCAAGAUGAGAUAUCCCAUA